AGUGAACGCUGGCGGCGUGCUUAACACAUGCAAGUCGAACGAGAACGGAAUAUAGCUUGCUAUAUUUGUCAGCUAAGUGGCGCACGGGUGAGUAAUAUAUAGAUAACCUGCCCUUAAGAAAGGAAUAACAGUUGGAAACGACUGCUAAUGCCCUAUAUGCCUUUAAUACAUAAGUAUGCAAGGGAAACGCUUUAUUGCUUAAGGAUGGGUCUGUAUGGUAUCAGAUUGUUGGUUAGGUAAUGGCUCACCAAGGCUAUGACGCUUAACUGGUUUGAGAAGAUGAUAGGUCACACUGGAACUGAGACACGGUCCAGACUCCUACGGGAGGCAGCAGUGGGGAAUAUUGCACAAUGGACGAAAGUCUGAUGCAGCAACGCCGCGUGGAGGAUGACACAUUUCGGUGCGUAAACUCCUUUUAUAUAGGAAGAUAAUGACGGUACUAUAUGAAUAAGCACCGGCUAACUCCGUGCCAGCAGCCGCGGUAA
rnacentral:rRNA from 1 species